rnacentral:rRNA from 1 species
AGCAGCCGCGGUAAUUCCAGCUCCAAUAGCGUAUAUUAAAGUUGUUGCAGUUAAAAAGCUCGUAGUUGAAUUUCGGGGUUAGUAGGUUGGUCAUGCCUCUGGUAUGUACUGGUCUCACUGAUUCCUCCUUCCUGAUGAACCUUAAUGCCAUUUAUUUGGUGUUUUGGGAAUUUGGACUGUUACUUUGAAAAAAUUAGAGUGUUUAAAGCAAGCUAACGCUUGAAUACAUUAGCAUGGAAUAAUGAAAUAGGACGUUCGAUCCUAUUUUGUUGGUUUCUAGGAUUGACGUAAUGAUUAAUAGGGAUAGUUGGGGGCAUUAGUAUUCAAUUGUCAGAGGUGAAAUUCUUGGAUUUAUUGAAGACUAACUACUGCGAAAGCAUUUGCCAAGGAUGUUUUCAUUAAUCAAGAACGAAAGUUAGGGAUCGAAGACGAUCAGAUACCGUCGUAGUCUUAACCAUAAACUAUGCCGGCUAGGGAUCGGAUGAUGUUAAUUUUUAAUGUACUCAUUCGGCGCCUUACG